UGCCAGCAGCCGCGGUAAUACGAAGGGGGCAAGCGUUGUUCGGAAUUAUUGGGCGUAAAGGGCGUGUAGGCGGUCAUUCAAGUCGGGUGUGAAAUCCCUCGGCUCAACCGAGGAACAGCAUUCGAUACUGUUUGACUAGAGUGCGGCAGGGGUAAGUGGAACUCCAGGUGUAGCGGUGAAAUGCGUAGAUAUCUGGAGGAACGCCGGUGGCGAAAGCGACUUACUGGGCCAAUACUGACGCUGAGGUGCGAAAGCGUGGGGAGCAAACAGGAUUAGAUA
rnacentral:rRNA from 1 species